UACGGGGGGGAGCAAGCGUUGUUCGGAAUUACUGGGCGUAAAGGGCGCGUAGGCGGCCUACUAAGUCAGACGUGAAAUCCCCCAGCUUAACCUGGGAACUGCGUCUGAUACUGGAAGGCUUGAGGAUGGGAGAGGGAUGUAGAAUUCCAGGUGUAGCGGUGAAAUGCGUAGAUAUCUGGAGGAAUACCGGUGGCGAAGGCGGCAUCCUGGACCAUUACUGACGCUGAGGCGCGAAAGCUAGGGGAGCAAACGGG
rnacentral:rRNA from 1 species